rnacentral:rRNA from 1 species
UACGUAGGGUGCGAGCGUUGUCCGGAAUUAUUGGGCGUAAAGAGCUCGUAGGCGGUCUGUCGCGUCGAUCGUGAAAACUUGGGGCUUAACCCUGAGCUUGCGGUCGAUACGGGCAUGACUGGAGUUCGGCAGGGGAGACUGGAAUUCCUGGUGUAGCGGUGAAAUGCGCAGAUAUCAGGAGGAACACCGGUGGCGAAGGCGGGUCUCUGGGCCGAUAUUGACGCUGAGGAGCGAAAGCGUGGGGAGCGAACAGG